CAACAGGGAUUGCCCUAGUAACGGCGAGUGAAGCGGCAACAGCUCAAAUUUGAAAUCUGGCUCUUUCAGAGUCCGAGUUGUAAUUUGCAGAGGGCGCUUUGGCUUUGGCAGCGGUCCAAGUUCCUUGGAACAGGACGUCACAGAGGGUGAGAAUCCCGUACGUGGUCGCUAGCUAUUGCCGUGUAAAGCCCCUUCGACGAGUCGAGUUGUUUGGGAAUGCAGCUCUAAAUGGGAGGUAAAUUUCUUCUAAAGCUAAAUAUUGGCCAGAGACCGAUAGCGCACAAGUAGAGUGAUCGAAAGAUGAAAAGCACUUUGGAAAGAGAGUCAAACAGCACGUGAAAUUGUUGAAAGGGAAGCGCUUGCAGCCAGACUUGCUUGCAGUUGCUCAUCCGGGCUUUUGCCCGGUGCACUCUUCUGCAGGCAGGCCAGCAUCAGUUUGGGCGGUGGGAUAAAGGUCUCUGUCACGUACCUCUCUUCGGGGAGGCCUUAUAGGGGAGACGACAUACCACCAGCCUGGACUGAGGUCCGCGCAUCUGCUAGGAUGCUGGCGUAAUGGCUGUAAGCGGCCCGUCUUGAAACACGGACCAAGGAGUCUAACAUCUAUGCGAGUGUUUGGGUGUCAAGCCCGAGCGCGUAAUGAAAGUGAACGGAGGUGGGAACCCGCAAGGGCGCACCAUCGACCGAUCCUGAAGUUUACGGAAGGAUUUGAGUAAGAGCAUGGCUGUUGGGACCCGAAAGAUGGUGAACUAUGCUUGAAUAGGGUGAAGCCAGAGGAAACUCUGGUGGAGGCUCGCAGCGGUUCUGACGUGCAAAUCGAUCGUCAAAUUUGGGCAUAGGGGCGAAAGACUAAUCGAACUAUCUAGUAGCUGGUUCUGC
rnacentral:rRNA from 2 species